CAGGAAUUAGCGCAAUUGGUAGCGCGCAGCGUUCGGGACGCUGAGGCUGCAGGUUCGAAUCCUGUAUUCCUGACUA
rnacentral:tRNA from 1 species